AUUUAUAUCAUUUUAUUUUUGUUGUCUGUGGACUAUGGUCUAUAACUCUACAGUACAUAUGUAGUUUAAAACUUCUAAAUAAUAAUUAAUAGUAGUUUUACAUUUAAAUAACUACAAAUUAUUAUGAUCAAUAACUCAUAAGAGUAUGAAUGAAGAUAAAGCACUAAAAUAUGACAAGUUGUUUUGAAAUUAAAUAAGCACGUAUUCUACAAUGUCCCCAUAGGCAUUACAAAUUUUUUGAUUUAAAAGUUACAGAAAGGAAGACUAAAAUAAAAAUAAAAUUACGUCCAAUGGAAAAGAUGUAACUACUAAAACAAUUUAAAGAGAUGUGUGCAUUUUGUCAAGGUUUUGUGGUAAAAAAUAGGACCAAAGCUGUUGUGUGAAAGAUGGAGUGUAUAGUAUACUUGUAAGGGUUACGGACUCUGCGACUCUGUAAAUAAUAUAGUAAACAAUAAAAAUAAAGAAAUUAAGAAAAUUGAUCGUAAUAUUGAAUUGAAUUAAAGUAUAAUACAAAAAAAUCAAGUGGAAUGCAGUACUUAUUGACUACAAGUUGACUGGGGUUUGUACAUAAUGCAGUAUUCAAUGAUGAACAGCCAUCAACAUAUCAGUUCAUAUCCAAUUAUACUGUGUUAAGUAUUAUAAGAACAAGACCCAUUGCAGAAAUACAUGUUGAACAAGUUGUGUAGAACCUAAUGUUAAUGUGCAGCUUCAGAAAAUUAGUUGCCACUAUUUGAUUCUCUACUUGAAUAGAGAUUAUAGAAUAUAAUAAUUUAUAAAUUAAUAAGUAUUAAAAUGUAUAGCUAUCAAAUGCUAUAGCAUUUGUUGAAAAAUUUAGAGUUAAGUAUGAUGGCCCUAUAUUUUUGUAUGUUAUAAAUGUUAAGAUUAACACAUUAAGAUACAUUAUACAGUCAAAUCUCGUUAACUGAAACUUCAAUAACUCGAAAACGUCAAUAACUCCAAUUUAUUCUUUCCUCCUUGAAGGGGUUUUAAGUGGUUCUUAAGGUAUAUAACUCGAAAAAUACAUGAGUAAAAUUUAUUUUUAUUCCAUUCAAAAAUCGAGUUAUUGAGACUCGACUGCACUGGUAAAUGUGUCAAUUAACCAAUUAUUUCUAGUAGGUGAUUGGUUGCAGUAUACAUUUUAUUUAUUAAGCUUAAUUUAUACUAAAACAAAAAAAUAAAAACUUACAUUUAAUUUUUGAUUGUUUAUAACUCUGAAUUAAUUAAAAUAAAUUCAUAAUUAUUAUCAGUCUCAUUUAUAAAUUAUACAUUUAUUAAUAAUAAAAUAUAUUGUAUACAUUUUGUUCAUAACUAAUUUAUCUUAUAAUAACUAUACUAUGUGUGUAAUAUAGGUAGGUAGGUAUUAUCCAUUUCAAUAAAUGGAUAUCCAAUGUCCAUAUUAUGUAUUUUCGUUAAAAUUUACGAUGUGAAUGAAUUUCUCUGUCUGGACAUCCAGUACAAAAAAAAAAUUGAUUUCACUAAGUGGAUGUGACAUAUUAUAUGUAUAAUAUACCUAAAUGAAUAUAGGUACCUGCAUACUUAAAUAAAAGGUAUACAUUUAGAGAAAAAUUAAAUAAUAUCUACAUCUUAGUAUAAUAAUUACUAUAUUUUAAUUAAACGGUAUUAUUAUUAUUAUAAUUCAUUCAAGUAUUUCAAGUAUUUAUGAAUGCUAAUAUACAAAUAUAUAAGUUAUAGGUAACUAUGGUUAAUGGGCUAUUCCAUGGAACUCCCAUGUACCCUAAAUCCAUUUGUGUUGGUCAUGGGAAUUAGGAAUUGCUACUUUCUAACUUAAUGAGUUGAAUUGAAUAUAUAAAAAAAUCUAACCUAACAUGUUUAAAACAAAAAGUAUAACUACUAACUUAGUAGUUUAUUUUUACUGCAAAAAUCCCAAUAUACCAAGUAAACAGUGGUUCUCAACGUUUUUUCAUUCACGUACCCCUUUACCGCUCACCACUAUUUCAUGUACCCCAAAUAUCAAUUUUGAAUAUAAAUAAUAUAACGAUAUAAUUUUAUCGCAUUAAUAACAGUAAAUCGCAAACUCUACAUUGUAAUCAGUACACAAUUAUUAAAUAUACAUUUCUGAUCAAUCCCUUAUAUUUCUUGUAAUGCAUGGAUUAAGAUAUAAACGGUUAUUUAACGGUUUUUAAUUAUGAAUUUAAUGUAAAUUGUAAUAACUUACAUUUGAAACAAACAAUUAACAAUUUGAACAAACAGGUUUUUAAAUUUAUAUUUUAAGCUAUAAAAAAGAGGCACAUGUGCAGCACUCUGCUGUAUAGUUAGUCGAGUGGGUCACUGUAAUAUAGAUGUGUUAAAUUUGAAUUUAAAGAUAAAUUAUUAAAUAGGAUUUGGAGCGAAGACUGUCCGUCAGCUUAUAUUAUUAAGUAUGUUUUAUAGUAUUAUUACUAUUAAAGUAAUUUAUUUUACAUUUUUACUGUAAGUAAUUAGUAAUGUCUGUAAUACAGUAGGUAGAAUUAAUUUUUGAUGAAAACACUGCAUUUAAAAAUGUCAAUAUGACAUACUGACAUAUACUAUUGUCUAAUAUUUAUAAAAUUGUACCUCCUCCUUCCCUCCCAUUAUUUGUUUAAUUGUUUAUAAAUACACCUCUGUGACUUAAGUAAAACAAAAUACCUGUAUAUUUAAGAGUAGAGUGGAAAUAAAUUAAAUUGACAAUAUUUACAAGAGAAAAUCAUAUUUAUAAUAUUUCUCAUACCAAAUUAUAAGUCAUUAUAAUCAUAAUUAAGUAUUAAUCCGACUAUGUAUCCGCGUAUAAAUACUGUAUCUAACAUUAAUAUAGAAUACAUUUUAAGUGUUUAUUUAUGGUACAUUAAUAUUUCAUAUUAAAUUUGUUAAAUCAGUCAGUAGCUGAUUAAAGUGUAUUCAGAAAGUGCUAAAGCUCCAAGCAAUAUUUCAUACCAUAAAUUUAGUAUUUACUAAAUAGGAUAAUAUAAAAAAAAUAUUGAUUUUUUUGUUACCUAAUAUUGCAAUAUAUUUUGUCAUUUAAAUUUAUUUAAAAAUAAUAAUAAUAAAAUGUUUUUAUCUUAAUUUAUAUUUUAUUAUACAUUUAUAAAGUAUUUUUCAUAAC